AAUGAACGCUGGCGGCAGGCCUAACACAUGCAAGUCGAGCGAGGACUUCGGUCCUAGCGGCGGACGGGUGAGUAACGCGUGGGAACGUGCCCUUUGCUACGGAAUAGCCCUGGGAAACUGGGAGUAAUACCGUAUGUGCCCUUUGGGGGAAAGAUUUAUCGGCAAAGGAUCGGCCCGCGUUGGAUUAGGUAGUUGGUGGGGUAAUGGCCUACCAAGCCGACGAUCCCUAGCUGGUUUGAGAGGAUGAUCAGCCACACUGGGACUGAGACACGGCCCAGACUCCUACGGGAGGCAGCAGUGGGGAAUCUUAGACAAUGGGCGCAAGCCUGAUCUAGCCAUGCCGCGUGAGCGAUGAAGGCCUUAGGGUUGUAAAGCUCUUUCAGUGGGGAAGAUAAUGACGGUACCCACAGAAGAAGCCCCGGCUAACUCCGUGCCAGCCGCCGCUGUAAAAC
rnacentral:rRNA from 1 species